rnacentral:tRNA from 1 species
GCCGAAGUGGCGGAAUUGGCAGACGCGCUACGUUCAGGUCGUAGUGGGCUUACGCUCGUGUGAGUUCGAGUCUCACCUUCGGCACCA